AAAGCUGAGAUACCUGGGACUGUUUGCUUUGAAAAGACUGAAAAGCAAUCUUAUUAAUGCUUAUAAAUAUCUAAAAGUCAGAUUUCAACUGGAUGAGGCCAUACUCUUUUCAGCAGUACCCAGUGACAGAACCAGGGGCAAUGAACACGAACAAGAACAUAGGAAGUUUUGUACAAACAUGAGGAAUAACUUCCUUACUUUAAGGAUGACAGAACACUGAAAUAGGCUGCCCAGAGCUGCUGUGGAGUCCCCUUCUCUGGAGAUUCUGGAGAUAUUCAAAACCCACCUGGAUGCUUUCCUUUGUAACCUACUGCAGGGAACCUGUUUUAGCAUGGGGUUGGAGAGAUGUUCCCUUCUAACCUCUAUGAUUCAGUGAUUCUGUAAUGGCCAGCUGUGAUAAUUGACCAGUUGUGCUACAGUACCUUUUUUUUUCUCCUCAAAGCUUUGUUUCAGGCAUAUCCCAAGCAGCAUCAUUGUUCACCUGUUCUUAAGGCACUAUGCUGUAGAAUGAGCUGCGGCAGGCAAAUCAAUUUUUGCUGUGUAUUAAGCACAAAGUGCAGGCUUUAAAAUGUUUGGUCCAGUCAUCAGUAUGCCAUAGAUUAAAUAGUGCACAUUUUAUUUUACCUCAGUACCUGCAUCAGUGAUUAGGUGUUUGUGUUGUCAUUAAAUAAAAUUAAGAGAAAAUUUUCGAAGUUAAGUCAAGACCUACUCGUGGAGAAGUUCUCCACUGAUACUCACUUUCCAAAUACUGAAUAGGUCUUUCAGUUUGAGACAAAGAAUAUUAUUCAUCUGUAGCAAAAGUAACAUAAAAGAAGGCACAUUAGGAUAGGUUUCUUUUUUUGUCUCCUAUUAGAUGAUGUUAAAAUCCCAAAGGAAAUAAUUAUAGCUGAACAUUUUAAAAAAACUUAAACUUUUGUUAAUAGCACUUCUGUUUAACAUUUCAUUUGGAAAAGCAUUAUGGUUUAUUAAUAUUUGAGCAGGUGCAACAAGUGUGAUGUUCUUACUUUAAAUUAAUAUAUGAUACAGUCUUGUAUUCUUGUAUACUUCUGUAUUAAUUAGGAUUUGCUCUCAACUCUUCUCUGAAUGCCUCUGAUGGAAAAAAAAUCUUCCUCCAGACCAGAUGGUGCUUUUUGUCAGGUUAACUAAAAUACGAUGUCUGCUAUAUAUGAAGAAUUACGCAAAUAAUUAAUUUAUCUCUCCUUUGACUAAGCUAAGGAAAGUUAGAAAAAAGCAUCUACCAAAACUCUGUAGAAAAUUUUGACAAUUGUUUAGGGAAGCCACUGCAUCCAAUUCAGAUCCUUUUGCUUUUGUUGAUUUGUAUCUUACUAUCAAACUUUUUCUGCACUCUGUGGGAUCAUUGUGGACCGAAAUUAUUUUCUGCAGUGUAGGGAGAAUGAGAGCAAAAAUCUAAUUCCAAGCAGAGUGUUGACAUUUGCUAGCGCUAUUGUAUUCAGUGGUGAUCUUAGUUUUUAUUUUGUUUGGAGACCAAUGUAUGACCUGUGUGCUUUUCCUCUCCCUUGGUAGUACAGAAUUCAGCACCUGGCAGCAUGGGAGGCUUUGACUGGAAAUAUUUUUAAAAAUCAACACAAGGAGAUGUAUUUGCUCUCCAAGAAUGAUGUCCACUAUGCUAGCCCAGAAUAGCAGAUACUUCUGCAAGUUCCAAGAUUGAGAAGAAAGUACCAGAAAGUAAUAAUUCACACUAUGAAUUUGUGGAAGCCUGAAAUACUUCCAAUGAAAACAAGGGAUCUCAUUGAAGAUGUUGCUGUGCACUCAGGAGUGACUUCUGUUAACUGAAACUCUCAUAGCUCAAACACCUGUUAGCUGAAAACAGUGCCUAACUAUGGUUGAUGUAACAUCUUCCUCUCUUCUCAUUCUCGUCUUUCUCAUGGAGAGAGGCAGAAAGCGAAAGAAGAUAGCACUAAAUGCUUUCUCUGUGUUACUCAACUAAUUAUUUUUUCCUGUGUAUCAAGUUUAGUUUGAUAAAACUCCUCGUUUUCUGAACACUACUCAAAAUAGCAGAAACUCUUUCUUCUAAGUGAUUUUUUUUUCCUUGUGCAAUUCUUAAUGUUGUUUUUACCCAUUGUCAUAGUGCCUGUUUUUGUAUGGAUUUUAUGUGUUUGAGAUGCACAGUGAAAGCACAGCUGCUAAUUUGUUCUGGCAAUUUGGCUGGAAAUUGCCAGGUACUGAGCACUCCUAGACACUUUAAUGGAAAGUUUCAGCUGGACUGUCUCAAGGGUGUGCUUAUUUUGUUUAAACUGAAUCAGUCAUUUCUCAUCCUUUCUAAAGCUCUCAGCUUGUUACUUUUUCAAGUCCAGAUUCAA